UACGUAGGGGGCAAGCGUUGUCCGGAUUUAUUGGGCGUAAAGAGCGUGUAGGCGGCCAAGCAGGUCCGCUGUGAAAACUCGAGGCUCAACCUCGAGACGUCGGUGGAAACCGUUUGGCUAGAGUCCGGAAGAGGAGAGUGGAAUUCCCGGUGUAGCGGUGAAAUGCGCAGAUAUCAGGAAGAACACCGGUGGCGAAGGCGGCUCUCUGGAACGGUACUGACGCUGAGACGCGAAAGCGUGGGGAGCGAACAGG
rnacentral:rRNA from 1 species